UUCGCAACUCACCACUCGUUACUGUCAGCCGAAUUUUUAUCCAAACAUUUGUUUCUCCAGCUUUUAUUUUUGCCAUGGACCAUUACGGUGAAAAUGUUAUCCAGCACCGUAACACCGUUAGCGGUACAGAUACUCUACAACAAUACUCUUUGUUAAAAACCUGUGCGAAGACUUGGCAAAAAACAAGCUUCG